CCGAGUUAGGGUUCCUCUCACGGGCCCGACCUCCCAACCCUGUGUCUAUCACACCUUGUCGUUGCUUCGGUGGACCGGUUCCGGGGACUUUUUGGUUCCUGGCCGCCGGGGGUGUUUGUCACCCCGGGAGAGCGUCCGCCGAUGGCCCAACCACAAACUUCUGUGUUCGAAACCUGGUCGUCUAAAUCAAACUUGAUCAUUAAUCAAAAAACA
rnacentral:misc_RNA from 1 species